rnacentral:rRNA from 1 species
UGGGGAAUUUUGCGCAAUGGGCGAAAGCCUGACGCAGCAACGCCGCGUGCGGGAAGAAGGCCCUCGGGUUGUAAACCGCUUUCGACAGGAACGAAAUUGACGGUACCUGUAGAAGAAGCCCCGGCCAACUACGUGCCAGCAGCCGCGGUAAUACGUAGGGGGCGAGCGUUGUCCGGAUUUAUUGGGCGUAAAGAGCUCGUAGGCCGUUCGGUAAGUCAGAUGUGAAAACUCCAGGCUCAACUUGGAGAGGCCAUCUGAUACUGCCGUGACUAGAGUCCGGUAGGGGAGCACGGAAUUCCUGGUGUAGCGGUGAAAUGCGCAGAUAUCAGGAGGAACACCAGCGGCGAAGGCGGUGCUCUGGGCCGGAACUGACGCUGAGGAGCGAAAGCGUGGGGAGCGAACAGGAUUAGAUACCCUGGUAGUCCACGCCGUAAACGUUGGGCACUAGGUGUGGGGACUUAUCAACGGUUUCCAUGCCGUCGCUAACGCAUUAAGUGCCCCGCCUGGGGA